rnacentral:rRNA from 1 species
CCUACGGGGGGCUGCAGUGGGGAAUAUUGGACAAUGGGGGGAACCCUGAUCCAGCCAUGCCGCGUGUGUGAAGAAGGCCCUCGGGUUGUAAAGCACUUUCAGUGAGGAAGAACGCCUGGUGGUUAAUACCCAUCAGGAAAGACAUCACUCACAGAAGAAGCACCGGCUAACUCCGUGCCAGCAGCCGCGGUAAUACGGAGGGUGCGAGCGUUAAUCGGAAUUACUGGGCGUAAAGCGCGCGUAGGUGGCUUGAUAAGCCGGUUGUGGAAGCCCCGGGCUCAACCUGGGAACGGCAUCCGGAACUGUCAAGCUAGAGUGCAGGAGAGGAAGGUAGAAUUCCCGGUGUAGCGGUGAAAUGCGUAGAGAUCGGGAGGAAUACCAGUGGCGAAGGCGGCCUUCUGGACUGACACUGACACUGAGGUGCGAAAGCGUGGGUAGCAAACAGGAUUAGAUACCCUAGUAGUC